rnacentral:miRNA from 1 species
UAAGAAAAAAGGCUACAUCAAUAUUUUUCCCCUAGUUUAUUUAAAGUAAGAUGAGGAUCGUGAUUGUAAAUAAACUAGGGGAAAAAUAUUGAUGUAGCCUUUUUUCUUA